UGCUCUAACCACUGAGCCAUCUCUGCAGCCCUGUAAAGUCAGGUCUUAAUAGGAUGGUUUCUAUACUUCCUUGUGAGGUGUUCUUUUUAACAAAUGGUCUCCACCCACACACGCCCUUUGGUCUUUGUUCUGUGUAUUACUGCUACUAGCCUGUUAACCAGUGACCCCUGUGUGAAAGCAUCUACAACCAUGUUAGUGUAGAGCAUAUUGCUACUGAUUACCCUAUGGAGUCAGUAACCUUGGAGUCAUGGGUGUGUUAGCUAGUUUUAUGUCAACUUUUGACAGAUCUUGUAGUUAUCUGAGAGGAGGGAACCUCAGUUGAGGAAAUGCCUCCAUAUUAGGCUGUAUGCUUUCGUAAUUAGUGGUUGAUGUAGGAGGGCCCAGAUUGUGGGGGGGACCAUCCUGGGCAGGUGGUCGUGGGUUCUACAAGAAGGCAGACUGAGCAAACCAUGAGGACCAAGCUGGUAAGCAGCAUGUCUCCAGGGCCUCUGCAUCAGCUCGAGACUCCAUAGGGAAGCUAAACAAACCCUCCCCUUCCUACUGGCUUUUUGUUCACGGUGUUUGAUGGCAGCAAUAGAAACCCUAAGAUAAGGCCAUUAAAGUGAUUAACUGUACAGUAUUGCCCGGUCCAUCAAUUUCCUGGUCUCACAGCCCUGUCAAUGUUAGGGACCCAAAUGCUCAUAAAAUGCAUAUUUGAAGUUUUCCCCUCACUGCAUUUAAUUUUGCAUAAAAUUAUGGUACUGUAUGAUGUUCUUAAAAAUAUAGUAAUGUUCUAACCAGUA